AGAGCAGGCUCCUGCUGCCCAGGGACAGCUGGUACCUGUGGUUGGGUCUCUGAGCUUCAGGAUGUGAUGUGUGAAUGCACCACAUGUGCAGAAACCUGGACUUGUGAGCAGGAGCAGUUCACCUCCCAUCACUGGGUAUCUGCCUGACAUUUGCAGUCCCACAUGGCCUCUGCUUUUAGACCCUUGGCUGUGUCCAUACCCAGAUGUACUGUAGCAUGAUGGAACAAGUGCCAGUUGCUUCUUCUGCAAUGUCUGGUGUGAAUCUGUUCCCACAGGAGGAGAAACCAGUGCUGUUUUAUGCAGCGGUACAAAAAACCCAUCAGGACUUCCCCCUAAACCCCAGGGCUUUCCCUGAUGGAUGAAUGGGUGGAUAUCAGGCAUUAUGCAACAUCAGUGCAAAGCUUAAAAGAUAGCACUUCCCAAGUGAAGACCCUGGUAACAGCCAGAAUUCCCACUUGGAGCCUCCUCCUAGUUCAUAGCUAUGGUGAGAUUUUAGGUGAAGAAAAGUAUUCUCUACAGGAUGCCCAUUCCCUGGUGUGUCAGGAAUAAAGGUAGGGCUACAGCUUCAUGCAGAGGGUGGUGCCCCUUUGGAAUCCCCAGAUUCUGGGAAACAUCUGGAACCAUGAGAGCUUGUGAGCUUCAGCCAUGCAGGAAAACACUUACAGGAAACAGAAAGGAAAUAAUUGGGCUGGGGUAGGGUAAGGAAGAGUAGAACAUUCUUCAGCCACAAGAAGCUUUUCCCAGAGCCCUCUCCAAGCUUUCUGUACUUAGAUGAUUAAAAAAUGAUCUCUCUUUC